UUAAGCGACUAAGCGUACACGGUGGAUGCCCUGGCAGUCAGAGGCGAUGAAGGACGUGCUAAUCUGCGAUAAGCGUCGGUGAGGUGAUAUGAACCGUUAUAACCGGCGAUUUCCGAAUGGGGAAACCCAGUGUGUUUCGACACACUAUCAUUAACUGAAUCCAUAGGUUAAUGAGGCGAACCGGGGGAACUGAAACAUCUAAGUACCCCGAGGAAAAGAAAUCAACCGAGAUUCCCCCAGUAGCGGCGAGCGAACGGGGAGGAGCCCAGAGCCUGAAUCAGUGUGUGUGUUAGUGGAAGCGUCUGGAAAGGCGCGCGAUACAGGGUGACAGCCCCGUACACAAAAAUGCACAUACUGUGAGCUCGAUGAGUAGGGCGGGACACGUGGUAUCCUGUCUGAAUAUGGGGGGACCAUCCUCCAAGGCUAAAUACUCCUGACUGACCGAUAGUGAACCAGUACCGUGAGGGAAAGGCGAAAAGAACCCCGGCGAGGGGAGUGAAAAAGAACCUGAAACCGUGUACGUACAAGCAGUGGGAGCCUCUUAAUGGGGUGACUGCGUACCUUUUGUAUAAUGGGUCAGCGACUUAUAUUCUGUAGCAAGGUUAACCGAAUAGGGGAGCCGAAGGGAAACCGAGUCUUAACUGGGCGUUAAGUUGCAGGGUAUAGACCCGAAACCCGGUGAUCUAGCCAUGGGCAGGUUGAAGGUUGGGUAACACUAACUGGAGGACCGAACCGACUAAUGUUGAAAAAUUAGCGGAUGACUUGUGGCUGGGGGUGAAAGGCCAAUCAAACCGGGAGAUAGCUGGUUCUCCCCGAAAGCUAUUUAGGUAGCGCCUCGUGAAUUCAUCUCCGGGGGUAGAGCACUGUUUCGGCAAGGGGGUCAUCCCGACUUACCAACCCGAUGCAAACUGCGAAUACCGGAGAAUGUUAUCACGGGAGACACACGGCGGGUGCUAACGUCCGUCGUGAAGAGGGAAACAACCCAGACCGCCAGCUAAGGUCCCAAAGUCAUGGUUAAGUGGGAAACGAUGUGGGAAGGCCCAGACAGCCAGGAUGUUGGCUUAGAAGCAGCCAUCAUUUAAAGAAAGCGUAAUAGCUCACUGGUCGAGUCGGCCUGCGCGGAAGAUGUAACGGGGCUAAACCAUGCACCGAAGCUGCGGCAGCGACGCUUAUGCGUUGUUGGGUAGGGGAGCGUUCUGUAAGCCUGUGAAGGUGGCCUGUGAGGGUUGCUGGAGGUAUCAGAAGUGCGAAUGCUGACAUAAGUAACGAUAAAGCGGGUGAAAAGCCCGCUCGCCGGAAGACCAAGGGUUCCUGUCCAACGUUAAUCGGGGCAGGGUGAGUCGACCCCUAAGGCGAGGCCGAAAGGCGUAGUCGAUGGGAAACAGGUUAAUAUUCCUGUACUUGGUGUUACUGCGAAGGGGGGACGGAGAAGGCUAUGUUGGCCGGGCGACGGUUGUCCCGGUUUAAGCGUGUAGGCUGGUUUUCCAGGCAAAUCCGGAAAAUCAAGGCUGAGGCGUGAUGACGAGGCACUACGGUGCUGAAGCGACAAAUGCCCUGCUUCCAGGAAAAGCCUCUAAGCAUCAGGUAACAUUAAAUCGUACCCCAAACCGACACAGGUGGUCAGGUAGAGAAUACCAAGGCGCUUGAGAGAACUCGGGUGAAGGAACUAGGCAAAAUGGUGCCGUAACUUCGGGAGAAGGCACGCUGAUAUGUAGGUGAAGCGACUUGCUCGUGGAGCUGAAAUCAGUCGAAGAUACCAGCUGGCUGCAACUGUUUAUUAAAAACACAGCACUGUGCAAACACGAAAGUGGACGUAUACGGUGUGACGCCUGCCCGGUGCCGGAAGGUUAAUUGAUGGGGUUAGCGGUAACGCGAAGCUCUUGAUCGAAGCCCCGGUAAACGGCGGCCGUAACUAUAACGGUCCUAAGGUAGCGAAAUUCCUUGUCGGGUAAGUUCCGACCUGCACGAAUGGCGUAAUGAUGGCCAGGCUGUCUCCACCCGAGACUCAGUGAAAUUGAACUCGCUGUGAAGAUGCAGUGUACCCGCGGCAAGACGGAAAGACCCCGUGAACCUUUACUAUAGCUUGACACUGAACAUUGAGCCUUGAUGUGUAGGAUAGGUGGGAGGCUUUGAAGUGUGGACGCCAGUCUGCAUGGAGCCGACCUUGAAAUACCACCCUUUAAUGUUUGAUGUUCUAACGUGGGCCCCUUACCGGGGUUGCGGACAGUGUCUGGUGGGUAGUUUGACUGGGGCGGUCUCCUCCUAAAGAGUAACGGAGGAGCACGAAGGUUGGCUAAUCCUGGUCGGACAUCAGGAGGUUAGUGCAAUGGCAUAAGCCAGCUUGACUGCGAGCGUGACGGCGCGAGCAGGUGCGAAAGCAGGUCAUAGUGAUCCGGUGGUUCUGAAUGGAAGGGCCAUCGCUCAACGGAUAAAAGGUACUCCGGGGAUAACAGGCUGAUACCGCCCAAGAGUUCAUAUCGACGGCGGUGUUUGGCACCUCGAUGUCGGCUCAUCACAUCCUGGGGCUGAAGUAGGUCCCAAGGGUAUGGCUGUUCGCCAUUUAAAGUGGUACGCGAGCUGGGUUUAGAACGUCGUGAGACAGUUCGGUCCCUAUCUGCCGUGGGCGCUGGAGAACUGAGGGGGGCUGCUCCUAGUACGAGAGGACCGGAGUGGACGCAUCACUGGUGUUCGGGUUGUCAUGCCAAUGGCACUGCCCGGUAGCUAAAUGCGGAAGAGAUAAGUGCUGAAAGCAUCUAAGCACGAAAC
rnacentral:rRNA from 1 species